rnacentral:rRNA from 1 species
UGAGCAAUCUGCCCUUCUCAUCGGAAUAAGCGUUGGAAACGACGUCUAAUGCCGAAUAUGACCUCCUUUUCACAUGAUCGGAGGUGGAAAGCUCCGGCGGAGAAGGAUGAGCUCGCGGCCUAUCAGCUAGUUGGUGUGGGUAACGGCCCACAAGGCGACGACGGGUAGCCGGUCUGAGAGGACGACCAGCCACACUGGAACUGAGAUACGGUCCAGACUCCGUAGGGAGG